AUGAAUUGUAGAGAAACAAUAAAACAAGAAAUCGGCUCACCAUCCUGUUCCAACUUGUUCCUAGCCUACUUGUGUCCCAGUAUUUUCUUCCGUUGCUAUCCAUUCUCUUGCUUCCUGGAGUUCUUGGAAAUCAAAUGUGUGCUAGUCAUAUGGUUGGUGAUGGGACAAGGUGAGAGAAAAUGGCUAUGCCAUGACUUCUCAGACAAAUCCUAUGUAGCUCUGCUGGAACUUGAACUUUCCCUGGGGUCCAGCCAAGUCACCAGGGCAAUGCAUAUUCCAUCCCUUCAUUGGUCUCCUCCUCUUUCUCCUUUGUGACACUGUCACAACUCACCCUCAAAUUUCUCCUUCAGCUAAAAAAUUUGUUUAGAAAAUUAUUCGUGAAUUUUCUACAAAUAGCCCAGGAAUCUUGGUUAAUUCUAACUAAAAACAUCCAUAUAGCAUAAAACAAAGAUUGUAAAAAUUAAAAAUCAGGCAUUUUUCGGCAUUCCAAAAAAGGAAUCAGGGAAUUAAAAAAAAAAAAUCAGUCACUUCUUCCUUUUCUCUACCUGAGCCCUAAGGUUAGUUUCUCUGGUCAAAUAUUUCAUCUUUAUGUCUUAUUAAAAAAAAUCUUGAUUUUUUUAAUCAAAAAUUUUUCCUAUGCUGUACUUUUCAUCCUUGUGUUUUAUUUACUCUAUAAAUAUGUUUGUACCUCUUAAUCCCCUUUUCCUAUUUUGCUUAUCUCUCACUGCCCUCCUCUCUAGCAACCAUUAGUUUGUUCUCUGUAUUUAUGAGUCUAUUUCUGUUUUUAUUUGUUUUUUAGAUUCUACACAUUACUGAAAUCAUAAGGUAUUCAUCUUUCUCUGUCUCUUAUUUCACAUAGCAUAACAGAUCCAUCCAUUUUUUCGCAGAUGGCAAGAUUUCUUUUUUUUUUUAAGAUUGAUUUUUUUAUUCAUGACGGACACGGAGAGAUUGAGAGGCAGAGACACAGGCAGAGGGAGAAGCAAGCUCCACACAGGGAGCCCGACACGGAACUCAAUCCUGGCUCUCCAGGAACACACUCAGGGCUGAAGGCGGCGCUAAACGGCUGGGCCACCGGGGCUGCCCAGAUUUCUUUUUUUUAAAGAUGUAUUUAUUUGAGAGAGAGGGUGGGAGGGGCAAAGGGAGAGGGAGCAAGAGAAUCUCAAGCAGACUCCACGCUGAGUGUGGAGCCUGACAUGGGGUUCAAUUUCAUGACCCUGAGAUCAUGAAUUGAGCCAAAAUCAAAAGUUGGAUACUUCACUGAUAGAGUCACUGAGGCACUGCAAGUUUUCAUUUUUUAAUACAUACCUUGAUAGUCUUUCUAUGAACUGAAUAAACAGCCAAAAGCCUAAAUUUAUAUUUUAAUUCAUGUAAAAACACAACUGUCUGGUGGAACAGACAGUAGAAACCCAUCAUGACUGCUGUGAUUAAUAUGACCUCUAGAUGCUCCUAUGUCUUUAGUUAGUCAUUCAAGAUUCAAAGUCCCAUGAAGAGUCAUCCAUAUUGCUGAUCCUCAGCAUGUCUGCUCCUUGGCUAUUCAGGAAGCUAGAAGUCUGUAUAUUCCCUUGGUGUCAGUAACAGGAGAGCUCAAACAUUACAUGUAUUGGGGCUCCCUUCCAGAAAGUCAACUAUCAUACCAACAAGUAUGGAAUUGGUUGUUGGCCAAAGUGACACAGGACCAUUAGGUUUUCUUUUCUUUUUUUAAAGAUUUUAUUUAUUUAUUCAUGAGAGAUACACACACACAGAAAGAGGCAGAGACACAGGCAGAGGGAGAAGCAGGCUCCAUGCAGGGAGCCCAACGUGGGACUUGAUCCCGGGUCUCCAGGAUCACACCCUGGGCUGAAGGCAGCGCUAAACCGCUGAGCCACCUGGGCUGCCCACCAUUAGGUUUUCUAAGGAGGAAUUCUCAGACAAGAGGAUCUUAUAUCUCCAAGAAUGUGCUAUUGUAGUUGGGAUCAGGUCAAGGUUUUGCUCUUCUCUCUGACACCGGAUGCCUUCUUAGGCCCAGUGCUAUAAAUACCUACUUCAGACUAAUUUCCAUGAAAGCAGAGGUUGUGCUUUCCCACAAAGGCAUGAAGAUUUUCUCACAUAUUUUCUUGUCAGAAUUUUAUAUUUUUAGUCCCUCAGUUAGGUUUUGAUCUGAGUUCUUUCCUAACUGUUGUAGGUAGGGGACAACUUCAUUCUUUAAAUGUGGAUAUACAGCUUUCCCAGAACUAUUUGUUGAAAAGAUUAUUGUUUCCUCAGGGAAAUAAAUAUCUUGACACAUUGUCUAGAACCUACUGACCAAAUAUUGAUGGGUUUAUUUCUGAACUCUCAAUUCUCUUUAUUGAUCAGAUCCAAUUAAGUCGAGGCCCCAUUACAGGGUUAGUUUCUGAGGGAGUCUGAAGUUGUUCUGAAUGCAGGUGGGCUCUACUUAGCCCUCACUUUCCUUGGUUCUCUCUGGUAAACUAGCUGACAGGUGCUCUGGUUCAGUAUAUCAUUGUCAUGAAUCAGCAGCCUCUUAUUAGUUGCUUGCCAAUAAUAUUUCCCUUAUUUUCUAUAGUGUUUUUAGGUCUGAACUUCUGCAAACUCUGUUCUGAAUAAAGACAGUUCCUUUGAUGAGAACCUCAGAGUCCUCUCCUCUUUUGGCCUGUCCCUUCCUCUCAUCACAAUCUUGAGCCAUUGCUCUGGAGCUGGGGGUGGGGACAGUUGUCUGGUUCUCUUGGAGUGACUACCUUGCUGUAUAAGCAGGCUGUUCACUGGGCUGACCACUUCUAGUCUUCUUAUUUUUUUUUUAUUUGAGUUCAAUUUGCCAACAUAUAGCAUAACACCAGUGCUCAUCCCAUCAUGCCCCCCUCAGUGCCCAUCACCCAGUCACCCCAUCCCCCUGCCCACCACCCUUCCUCUCCCCUUGUUGGAUUCCCAGAGUUAGGUGUCUCUCAUGUUCUGUCUCCCUUUCUGAUAUUUCCCAGUCAUUUUAUCUCCUUU
rnacentral:lncRNA from 1 species